UUUUAUGGAGAGUUUGAUCCUGGCUCAGGAUGAACGCUGGCGGCGUGCCUAAUACAUGCAAGUCGAGCGAACGGACGAGAAGCUUGCUUCUCUGAUGUUAGCGGCGGACGGGGGAGUAACACGUGGAUAACCUACCUAUAAGACUGGGAUAACUUCGGGAAACCGGAGCUAAUACCGG
rnacentral:rRNA from 1 species